UUUGAGAAGGUGAUGAUUAAAUUAUGCAUAGUUCAACUGAAUAGCUUCCAAAUGCUUUGUUGAAACCGAUCCAUCAAAGUCUUUCGCUCCUAUCUGAUUCUCAAC
rnacentral:snoRNA from 1 species